GGGUUGUGAGGUUAAGCGACUAAGCGUACACGGUGGAUGCCUAGGCAGUCAGAGGCGAUGAAGGGCGUGCUAAUCUGCGAAAAGCGUCGGUAAGGUGAUAUGAACCGUUAUAACCGACGAUACCCGAAUGGGGAAACCCAGUGCAAUUCGUUGCACUAUUGCAUGGUGAAUACAUAGCCAUGCAAGGCGAACCGGGGGAACUGAAACAUCUAAGUACCCCGAGGAAAAGAAAUCAACCGAGAUUCCCCCAGUAGCGGCGAGCGAACGGGGAGGAGCCCAGAACCUGAAUCAGCGUAUGUGUUAGUGGAAGCGUCUGGAAAGUCACACGGUACAGGGUGAUAGUCCCGUACACAAAAAUGCAUAUGUUGUGAGUUCGAUGAGUAGGGCGGGACACGUGACAUCCUGUCUGAAUAUGGGGGGACCAUCCUCCAAGGCUAAAUACUCCUGACUGACCGAUAGUGAACCAGUACCGUGAGGGAAAGGCGAAAAGAACCCCGGCGAGGGGAGUGAAACAGAACCUGAAACCGUGUACGUACAAGCAGUGGGAGCACCUUCGUGGUGUGACUGCGUACCUUUUGUAUAAUGGGUCAGCGACUUAUAUUUUGUAGCAAGGUUAACCGAAUAGGGGAGCCGUAGGGAAACCGAGUCUUAACUGGGCGAAUAGUUGCAAGGUAUAGACCCGAAACCCGGUGAUCUAGCCAUGGGCAGGUUGAAGGUUGGGUAACACUAACUGGAGGACCGAACCGACUAAUGUUGAAAAAUUAGCGGAUGACUUGUGGCUGGGGGUGAAAGGCCAAUCAAACCGGGAGAUAGCUGGUUCUCCCCGAAAGCUAUUUAGGUAGCGCCUCGUGAACUCAUCUUCGGGGGUAGAGCACUGUUUCGGCUAGGGGGUCAUCCCGACUUACCAAACCGAUGCAAACUCCGAAUACCGAAGAAUGUUAUCACGGGAGACACACGGCGGGUGCUAACGUCCGUCGUGAAGAGGGAAACAACCCAGACCGCCAGCUAAGGUCCCAAAGUCAUGGUUAAGUGGGAAACGAUGUGGGAAGGCACAGACAGCCAGGAUGUUGGCUUAGAAGCAGCCAUCAUUUAAAGAAAGCGUAAUAGCUCACUGGUCGAGUCGGCCUGCGCGGAAGAUGUAACGGGGCUAAACCAUGCACCGAAGCUGCGGCAGCGAACGUAUCACUUAAAACGCUUAACGUGACGGCAAAGCCGGCAUGUUCAAGCCACACUAAACGUUGAGUUGGCCGGUGUGCUGACAAACGAACAGGCGUUUUAAGGAUACGUUCGUUGGGUAGGGGAGCGUUCUGUAAGCCGUUGAAGGUGGUCUGUGAGGGCUGCUGGAGGUAUCAGAAGUGCGAAUGCUGACAUAAGUAACGAUAAUGCGGGUGAAAAACCCGCACGCCGGAAGACCAAGGGUUCCUGUCCAACGUUAAUCGGGGCAGGGUGAGUCGACCCCUAAGGCGAGGCUGAAAAGCGUAGUCGAUGGGAAACAGGUUAAUAUUCCUGUACUUGGUGUUACUGCGAAGGGGGGACGGAGAAGGCUAGGCUAGCCGGGCGACGGUUGUCCCGGUUUAAGCAUGUAGGCGGAGUGACCAGGUAAAUCCGGUUGCUUAUCAACGCUGAGGUGUGAUGACGAUGCACUACGGUGCAGAAGUAGUUGAUGCCAUGCUUCCAGGAAAAGCCUCUAAGCAUCAGGUAACAUGAAAUCGUACCCCAAACCGACACAGGUGGUCAGGUAGAGAAUACUCAGGCGCUUGAGAGAACUCGGGUGAAGGAACUAGGCAAAAUGGUGCCGUAACUUCGGGAGAAGGCACGCUGGCAUUAGGUAAAGGGACUUGCUCCCGGCGCCGAAGCCAGUCGCAGAUACCAGCUGGCUGCAACUGUUUAAUAAAAACACAGCACUGUGCAAACACGAAAGUGGACGUAUACGGUGUGACGCCUGCCCGGUGCUGGAAGGUUAAUUGAUGGGGUCAGCCGCAAGGCGAAGCUCUUGAUCGAAGCCCCAGUAAACGGCGGCCGUAACUAUAACGGUCCUAAGGUAGCGAAAUUCCUUGUCGGGUAAGUUCCGACCUGCACGAAUGGCGUAAUGAUGGCCAGGCUGUCUCCACCCGAGACUCAGUGAAAUUGAACUCGCUGUGAAGAUGCAGUGUACCCGCGGCAAGACGGAAAGACCCCGUGAACCUUUACUAUAGCUUGACACUGAACAUUGAGCCUUGAUGUGUAGGAUAGGUGGGAGGCAUAGAAGUGUGGACGCCAGUCUGCAUGGAGCCAACCUUGAAAUACCACCCUUUAAUGUUUGAUGUUCUAACUCGGCCCCGUAAUCCGGGGUGAGGACAGUGUCUGGUGGGUAGUUUGACUGGGGCGGUCUCCUCCCAAAGAGUAACGGAGGAGCACGAAGGUUAGCUAAUCACGGUCGGACAUCGUGAGGUUAGUGCAAAGGCAUAAGCUAGCUUGACUGCGAGAGUGACGGCUCGAGCAGGUACGAAAGUAGGUCUUAGUGAUCCGGUGGUUCUGAAUGGAAGGGCCAUCGCUCAACGGAUAAAAGGUACUCCGGGGAUAACAGGCUGAUACCGCCCAAGAGUUCAUAUCGACGGCGGUGUUUGGCACCUCGAUGUCGGCUCAUCACAUCCUGGGGCUGAAGUAGGUCCCAAGGGUAUGGCUGUUCGCCAUUUAAAGUGGUACGCGAGCUGGGUUUAGAACGUCGUGAGACAGUUCGGUCCCUAUCUGCCGUGGGCGUUGGAAGAUUGAGAGGGGCUGCUCCUAGUACGAGAGGACCGGAGUGGACGAAUCACUGGUGUUCGGGUUGUCAUGCCAAUGGCAUUGCCCGGUAGCUAAAUUCGGAAGAGAUAACCGCUGAAAGCAUCUAAGCGGGAAACUUGCCUCGAGAUGAGUCUUCCCUGGGGCUUUAAGCCCCCUGAAGGAACGUUAAAGACGAUGACGUUGAUAGGCUGGGUGUGUAAGUGCAGCGAUGCAUUGAGCUAACCAGUACUAAUGAACCGUGAGGCUUAACCUUACAACACCAAAGGUGUUUUG
rnacentral:rRNA from 1 species